ensembl:lncRNA
UUUUGCAGAGAACAUGCGUGAUUUCGGGUUAAACGGGGGAUUUCUGCAAAAAAAAAAAAAAACAUGAUUCUCAGGUAAAAUUUGGUGUAGUUGAAGAGAAAAUGCAUGAUUUUCAGGUUAAAUGGGGGAUUUCGGAAGAGAAAAUGCGUGUUGUUUGAGAUAAACGGGGGAUUUUUGUAGAGCGAAUGCAUGAUUUUCGGGUUAAAUGGGGGACCUUCCAAGGGAAAAGGCGUGAUUUUCACGUUAAAUGGGGGAUUUUCCAAGAGAAAAUGUGUAAUUUCCAGGUUAAAUGAGGGAUUUUGGAAGAGAAAAUGUGUGAGUUUUGGUUAAAUGGGGGGUUUUCCAGAGAAAAUGCAUGACUUUCUGUUAAAUGGAGGAUUUUUGUGGUGAAAAUGCGUGGUGUUCAGGUUAAAGCAGGGAUUUUCGAUGAGAAAAUACAUGAUUUUGGGGUUAAAUGUGUUUGUUUGUUUGUUUGUUUGUUGUUUGUUUGUUUGUUUGUUUGUUUUUAAGAGAAAACUUGUGAUUUUUGAUAAAUUAUGUAUUUUUGAAGUGAAAAUGCGUGAUUUUCAGGUUAGAUCAGGGAUUCUUGAAGAGAAAAUGCAUCAUUGUCGGGUUACAUGGGGGAUUUCCAAAGAGAAAUAGCCUUUUUUUUCUGGUUAAAUGGGGGAUUUUUGAAGAGAAAAUGAGUGAUUUUCAGAUUAAAUGGGGAUUCUUGAAGGGAAAAUGUGUGAUUUUCGGGUUAAAUGGGGGAUUCUCGAAGAGAAAAUGGGUGAUUUUCGGGUUUAAACUGCUAUUUUUGUAGAGAAUAUGCAUGAUUUUUGGUUUAAAAGAGGGAUUCUCAAAGAGAAAAUGCAUUAUUUUUGUUUAAAUGGGGUAUUUUUGAAGGGAAAAUGUGUGAUUUUCAGGUUAAACGGGGGAUUUCUGCAAAAAAAAAAUCAUGAUUCUCAGGUAAAAUUUUGUGUAGUUGAAGAGAAAAUUCAUGAUAUUCUGGUUAAAUGGGGGAUCUCGGAAGAGAAAAUGCGUGUUGUUUGAUAUAAACGGGGGAUUUUUGUAGAGCGAAUGCAUGAUUUUCGGGUUAAAUGGGGGAUUUUCCAAGAGAAAAUGCAUGAUUUUCAUUUAACUGUGGGAUUUUUAAAAAUAAGUUUUUUUCUGGCUUUUUUUUUUUUUUUUUUUUGUGGAGAAACUGUGUGAUUUUCAUUUAAAUAAGGGAUUUUAGAUGAGAAAAUGCAUGAUUUUGGGGUUAAAUGUUUUUUUUUUAAUAGAGAAAGGAAGUGAUUUUGGGGUUAAAUGUGUAUUUUUGAAGAGAAAAUGCUUGGUUUUUAAAUUAAAUGGGGGAUUUUUGAAGAGAAAAUGUGUGAUUUUCGGGUUAAAUGGAGUAUUUUUGAAGAGAAAAUGUGUGAUUUUGGGGUGAGAUGGGGGAUUUUUGUAGAGAAGAUGAGUGAUGUUCCAAGAGAACACGGGGGGGAUGUUCCAGAGAAAAUGGGAAAUUUUUAGGGUAAAUGUGGGCAUGGCUUUGCCUGGCCUUGCCUUGACUGGCCUGGUUUUGCCUUGCCUGGCUUUGCCUGGCCUUGCCUGGCCUAGC